AAUGAACGUUGGCGGCGUGGAUUAGGCAUGCAAGUCGAGCGAGAACCGUAGCAAUACGGGGACAGCGGCGAAAGGGAGAGGAAUACGCGGGUACCUACCCUCGGAUCUGGGAUAGCCACGGGAAACUGUGGGUAAUACCAGAUAACGUCUUCGGACCAAAGGUGUGAUUCCGUCCGAGGAGGGGCCCAAGUCCUAUUAGCAAGUUGGUGGGGUAAUGGCCUACCAAGGUAAUGAUGGGUACGGGGCGUGAGAGCGUGCCCCCGCUCACUGGGACUGAGACACUGCCCAGACACCUACGGGUGGCUGCAGUCGAGGAUCUUCGGAAAUGGGCGCAAGCCUGACCGAGCGACGCCGCGUGCGGGAUGAAGGCCUUCGGGUUGUAAACCGCCGUCGGAAGGGAGGAAAUGCCUAGGGGUUCUCCCCUAGGUUUGACCUAUCUUCAGAGGAAGUACGGGCUAAGUUCGUGCCAGCCGCCGCAGUAA
rnacentral:rRNA from 1 species